rnacentral:rRNA from 1 species
UACGUAGGGGGCAAGCGUUGUUCGGAAUUACUGGGCGUAAAGCGUGCGCAGGCGGUGAUGUAAGACAGGUGUGAAAUCCCCGGGCUUAACCUGGGAACUGCAUUUGUGACUGCAUCGCUGGAGUGCGGCAGAGGGGGGAUGGAAUUCCGCGUGUAGCAGUGAAAUGCGUAGAUAUGCGGAGGAACACCGAUGGCGAAGGCAAUCCCCUGGGCCUGCACUGACGCUCCAUGCACGAAAGCGUGGGGAGCAAACAGG